UGAGUAACGCGUGGGGAACCUGCCCUUAAGUUCGGGAUACCAACUCGAAAGGGUUGUUAAUACCGGAUGUGCUGCAUUAGCCGCACGGCGGAUGUAGUAGAGGGGAGACCCGCUUAAGGAUGGCCCUGCGUUCCAUUAGCUAGUUGGUGGGGUAACGGCCUACCAAGGCGACGAUGGAUAGCCGGCCUGAGAGGGCGACCGGCCACACUGGGACUGAGACACGGCCCAGACUCCUACGGGGGGCAGCAGUGGGGAAUCUUGCACAAUGGGCGGAAGCCUGAUGCAGCGACGCCGCGUGAGGGACGAAGGUCUUCGGAUCGUAAACCUCUGUCCAAAGGGACGAAGGAGUGACGGUACCUUUGGAGGAAGCCCCGGCCAACUACGUGCCAGCAGCCGCGGUAAGACGUAGGGGGCGAGCGUUGUCCGGAAUCAUUGGGCGUAAAGGGCGCGUAGGCGGUGACGUAAGUCAGGCGUGAA
rnacentral:rRNA from 1 species